AACUCAAAGGAAUUGACGGGGGCCUACAACAAGUGGUGGAGCAUGUGGUUUAAUGCGAUAAUCCGCGCAAAACCUUACCAACCUUUGAAUAAAGAAUUUAAUUAUUUUUAAUAGUUUGAAAAAAUAAUUAGUUUUUAAAAAUCUUUACAGGUGUUGCACGUCUGCCGUCAGCUCGUGUCGUGAGAUGUUUGGUUAAUUCCUUUAACGAGCGUAACUCUUAUUUUUGUUAUAUUCAUAUCAAAAUUUUUUUUAAAUUUUUAUUACAAAAAUACUAGCAAUGAUAAAUUGAAGGAAGAAGAAUUAAGUCAAGUCACUGUGGCCUUUAUAGGUUGGGCUACACACGUGCUACAAUGAAAAAUACAAAAAGUUACUAAAAUUAAAUUGUUAAAGUUAAUCUUUAAAAUUUUUCUUAGUUCAGAUUAUAAGCUGAAACUCGCUUAUAUGAAGUUGGAAUCACUAGUAAUCGCAAAUCAGAAUGUUGCGGUGAAUAUGUAUCUUGGCCUUGUACACACCGCCCGUCA
rnacentral:rRNA from 14 species